GCCCUUGUGGCGGAAUGGUAGACGCGCACGGUUCAGAACCGUGUCCGGGCAACCGGGUGGAGGUUCAAGUCCUCUCGAGGGCA
rnacentral:tRNA from 1 species